rnacentral:rRNA from 1 species
UACGGGGGGGGCAAGCGUUGUUCGGAAUUACUGGGCGUAAAGGGCGCGUAGGCGGUUGGAUAAGUCAGCUGUGAAAACCACGGGCUUAACUCGUGGCCUGCAGUUGAGACUGUCUGGCUUGAGUGUGGGAGAGGAGAGUGGAAUUCCUGGUGUAGCGGUGAAAUGCGUAGAUAUCAGGAGGAACACCGGUGGCGAAGGCGGCUCUCUGGGCAACAACUGACGCUGAGGAGCGAAAGCGUGGGGAGCGAACAGG